GGGCGUCCUCGCCGCCGGCACCACGUGGAUCUGCUCCAGCAAGUGCACCUCCGCUUCCGCCAUGGGUUCGCUGGCUUUGCUUGCUUGGGUGGGUUGAUUUUUUUUACAUAAUAAAGUGGUGGUGAUGCUAAUUCUCUAUGGGCUCUUAGUUUGUUUCGGAGUCUGUAGGUGCACUGCAUGUACUUUAGUACAAAGCAAUUUCGCAAAGAAAUUUUCGCUUUUUGUUCAUCUGUGUGAACUUACUUUGCAAAUAUGCUGAUCACAGUUUAAUUUCAAAAUGAAAAGAGAAUCCAAUCCAUACUGUGCUAUAGUACUUUUUCGUGUAGACCAAUUCAAGAGUACUUGAAAUCUGAUGGGGAAUACUGAUGGUGCCAUCAUUUUGGACUAAUCUUCUUAACUGAAACCAAAUUUAAAUGCCCUAGAGGCCUUAACACUAGGAUGACUUAAUCCUUUCAGCAUCUAACAGUUAUUACAAAAAAAAUGAGAAAACUCCAGUUAUGGUGAAGAAUGGAUGAGUGUGCUAUUUAUAUCUUUUUCUUGUUUUGGUAUUGCCUGCAGAUUUGUUUCAUGAAGAUUCUAUGUCAGAUUUGAAGGUGUUGGCAAGUAAGCGGCUCUACAUCUUGCCAAUUCAAUUUCUAAUUGGCAUGAGCUCCCUGUGUUCUGGACAACUAAGGUUACAUGCAAAAUUACCUGAUCAUGUAGCAAUUAUGAUUGAGACGCAUGCAUUUAGAUCGGAUGUUGAAGCGAGCCCGCCAUUUUAUUACUCUGAAAGAACUAUACAGUGGUAUUUGGCUAUUGCUUUCAGUAUUAGAG
rnacentral:lncRNA from 1 species